rnacentral:rRNA from 1 species
GGAGGAUGUAUAGCAAUAGCUACUUGUAUCAUUAAUGAUGCAAGCUCGACUAUGUUGAAUAAAAUUCUAGGUAGAAUUAUGAUAAUGACAUUGUCUGCCUAUGUGUCUUGACCAAAUUACGUGCCAGCAGUCGCGGCAAUACGUAGAAGACUAGUGUUAUUCAUGUUUAAUCGGUUUAAAGGGUACCUAGACGGUGAAUCAAGCUUUAGAAUAAAGAAGAAAAGGGACUAAUUCGCUAGAGUUACUUACGAGGGGGUUUUAAAGUACUGCUGGUGUAGAGAUGAAAUUCUGUCAUACCUCUUUUCGAAAGGAAAAUAACGGCACAGGUAUAGGCGAAGGCAUCCCCUUAUGUGAUAACUGACGUUGAGGGACGAAGGCUUCGUGGAACAAACAGGAUUAGAUACCCUAGUAGUUGAAGCAGAAAAUGAUGAAUGUCAUAGAUUAGACGUCUAAGUUUAUUCUAUAAAUGAAAGUGUAAGCAUUCCACCUCAUGAGUAAUUUGGCAACAUUGGAAUUGAAAUCAUUAGACCGUUUCUGAAACCAGUAGUGAAGUAUGUUGUUUAAUUUGAUAAUACGCAAAAAACCUUACCACAAUUUGAAUAUUUAUAUUGUUUAUUGUUAUCUCAUUAAUUUUCUUUCUUUUUUUCAUUAGAAAAUUAUACAAAUAAAAAGCUAAAAGAAAUUUUGUUUUCUU